CCCCAUUUCAGCGUGAAGAAUAGAAUUUCAAGAAUUUCAGUGUGCUAUAAUGUAUAUGUGAGAAAUGAAGGCUUUUAUCUGUAUUUCUAUGAGGCUGAGAGUGAGCACUGAGGCUUCAUGACUUCAGCAGCAGAUCUUUGUGUACAGUUUGUAGGCUUUAUCGGUGAAGGUGACCCCUGGAAAGGUGACUUCAGACAACAAGCAGAGACUGGAGCAAGAAGAGAAGGCUGAGGAGAAGAGGCUGGGCCAUCAUGAUGAUGAAGAAGAAGGACAAAUACCUCUAUGAUAAGAUCAUGUUCGGGAAGAAGAGGAAGGUUCGAGAGGCAAACAAAAUGGCAGCCAAGAGAAAAGCGUUGGACGAGGCCGGCAAAUCGGACAAAAAGAAAAAGAAGGCGAAGAAACAGUAGAAGGGAAAUGAGAAUGGACGUUAUUUUUAUUAUUAAAAAUAAUUCUAUCCAUUUAUUAAAAACCCUGCCAUGGCCUACUCUGUUUUUUCAGUGAUAUUUAUGGUUCAUGAUCCUGUUGUAUUAAACUGAUCAAUUUUAUUCAUGUAUUUUAAAUAACUUUAAUCAUCCCGUUGUAUUAAAAUGAUCCAUUUUAGUCAAAGGUGUAAAAAAAAAAAACAACAACUUUGGAUUAUUUUGUCCAUAAAGACACAACCAUCUAUUUUUAUUAUAUUCUGUUACACAUUCUGCUGAUAUUAAACUAUUACAGAUGCCACAAAAAUGCUGAUUCAUAUCUAAUAGCCAGUGCUGAUGUCCAGUGCUGAUGUCCAAUGCUGGAACUGGGAAUGAUUUAAGAGCCGUCACCAUAUAAGGAAUGUCUGGUAUAGGGGAGAGCGGGGACGGUUGCAACAUGGGGCAGUUGCAACAAGGCUUAUUUCUCCAAUCAGGAGCUAGAGUGACAAUAUUCAUACUGCACAUGCUCAGUGAGCCCCUCCCCCCCAUCUGCAAGAAAUCAGCCAUGUGUGACCAUUACUUCUAGAAAAAGCUAAAUUCAAGGUAAAAAAAAAAAAGUAUUUUUUUUAAUGUUCAGAAUUUUUCUCAUACUGUCUAAACGGUUUUUGUGAAGCAUUAUUCAUUCAUAUAAUUUAAAUCAGUGUUUUCUUACCUUCUAAUAGGCCUAGCUAGCAAGUGUCAAAGCUGUUGUGUCUAGCUAGCAUUGCAAGUUUUAUCAUAGCUGUCAGAGUAGGGACAUUUGCAACAAGGUGUUGCAACUGUCCCUCAUCACGACAGUUUGUCAUAUUAACAUAAAGAAGAAUUUUAUGAACCCUUUCAAAAGUUAGGUAUUCCUCCUUUUUCCUUAAGUAAGCAGGCUACUCUAAGUAAGUACUUUCUUCGUUUUCAGUAUGCCACGAGAGAGGAAGCGCACAACAGAUAGUCUCACAACUCUGUCUGUUCUGAUGUUAGCAGCAAACAUGGUCAAGGACGAAGGCAGGACAGUGAGGUCUGUGG